rnacentral:rRNA from 1 species
CCAGGUUGAUUCUGCCUGACGUAGACGCUAUUCCCUAAGAUUAACCCAUGCAUGUUAUUGAUUUUUGAAAGAUGGACUGCUCAGUAAUACUCACUUUAUUUUAUGUAUACUUAUUAUAACUACGUUAAAGUGUAGAUAAAAUGUAUACAGUAAGAGUGAGACCUAUCAGCUAGUUGUUAAGGUAAUGGCUUAACAAGGCAGUGACGGGUAACGGUAUUACUUUGUAAUAUUCCGGAGAAGGAGCCUGAGAGACGGCUACUAAGUCUAAGGAUUGCAGCAGGGGCGAAACUUGACCUAUGGAUUUUAUCUGAGGCAGUUAUGGGAAGUAAUAUUAUAUUGUUUCAUAUUUUAAAAGUAUAUGAGGUGAUUAAUUGGAGGGCAAAUCAAGUGCCAGCAGCCGCGGUAAUACUUGUUCCAAGAGUGUGUAUGAUGAUUGAUGCAGUUAAAAAGUCCGUAGUUUAUUUUUAAGAAGCAAUAUGAGGUGUACUGUAUAGUUGGGAGAGAGAUGAAAUGUGACGACCCUGACUGGACGAACA